rnacentral:lncRNA from 1 species
CAGAGUCCAUGGUGCGACCUGAAGAGGGGUUCCCGAACCCAGAGGACACCCCGGGGCCGCAGCCCGUUGGUGGCCCUGUGGCGCACUCAGCUGUCCUGGGGCUGGGGGUGCUGGCUGGGCCAGCUGGAGGGCGCAGGGAAGCUGGGAAGGAAGAGGAAGAUGCUGAAGGGGAGCCAGCCACACACCCUGCAGGGGGUGAGAGGAGCCCCAGCUGGGGCACUGCAGUCGAGAAUGG